GAGGAACGCUGGCGGCGUGCCUAAUACAUGCAAGUCGAGCGAACAGACGAGGAUCUUGCUUCUCUGAUGUUAGCGGCGGACGGGUGAGUAACACGUGGAUAACCUACCUAUAAGACUGGGAUAACUUCGGGAAACCGGAGCUAAUACCGGAUAAUAUAUUGAACCGCAUGGUUCAAUAGUGAAAGACGGUCUUGCUGUCACUUAUAGAUGGAUCCGCGCUGCAUUAGCUAGUUGGUAAGGUAACGGCUUACCAAGGCAACGAUGCAUAGCCGACCUGAGAGGGUGAUCGGCCACACUGGAACUGAGACACGGUCCAGACUCCUACGGGAGGCAGCAGUAGGGAAUCUUCCGCAAUGGGCGAAAGCCUGACGGAGCAACGCCGCGUGAGUGAUGAAGGUCUUCGGAUCGUAAAACUCUGUUAUUAGGGAAGAACAGAUGUGUAAGUAACUAUGCACGUCUUGACGGUACCUAAUCAGAAAGCCACGGCUAACUACGUG
rnacentral:rRNA from 1 species